rnacentral:rRNA from 1 species
CCUACGGGGUGCAGCAGUGGGGAAUAUUGGGCAAUGGGCGCAAGCCUGACCCAGCAACGCCGCGUGAAGGAAGAAGGCUUUCGGGUUGUAAACUUCUAUUAAGAGGGAAGAGCAGAAGACGGUACCUCUUGAAUAAGCCACGGCUAACUACGUGCCAGCAGCCGCGGUAAUACGUAGGUGGCAAGCGUUGUCCGGAUUUACUGGGUGUAAAGGGCGUGUAGCCGGGCUGACAAGUCAGAUGUGAAAUCCCGUGGCUCAACCACGGAACUGCCUUUGAAACUGUCGGUCUUGAGUCUCGGAGAGGCAGGCGGAAUUCCUAGUGUAGCGGUGAAAUGCGUAGAUAUUAGGAGGAACACCAGUGGCGAAGGCGGCCUGCUGGACGACAACUGACGGUGAGGCGCGAAAGCGUGGGGAGCAAACAGGAUUAGAUACCCGAGUAGUC